rnacentral:rRNA from 1 species
CAAUAGCGUAUAUUAAAGCUGUUGCGGUUAAAAAGCUCGUAGUUGGAUUUCUGUCAAGUACAACUGGUCUGCCCUCCGGGUGAGCACAUAGUUUGGUCUUGGCAUCUUGCUGGAAAUUGUUGCUGCACUUGGCUGUGUGGCGCAGUGUCCAGCACUUUCACUUUGAGGAAAUUGGAGUGUUUCAAGCAGGCAAUGCCUUUGAACACAGUAGCAUGGAAUAAUUAGAUUGGGCUUUUGCUCCAAUUUGUCGGUUUCUGGAGCUGAGGUGAGAAUUAAUGGGGAUUGUUGGGGGCAUCCGAAUUUAGCCGUCAGAGGUGAAAUUCUUGGAUCGGCUAAAGACGGACAACUGCGAAAGCGUUUGCCCAGGAUGUUUUCAUUGA